rnacentral:ncRNA from 1 species
UUAAGGUAGUUAUUUACAGGGUCCCUUAAGGGGUAACCUUUAAGUGCAAAUCGGGUGAAUUGCUGGAACUUCCUUAGAGCUAACCUCCCUACAACGUAACCUGAAAAGGUAAGCGUGAAAGGUUAAAAAGAGGUAGAUUGGAUAAUCAGCAGCCGAGCUCCUGUUCCGAAAGGAUGGAGAAGGUUCAACGACUAGGAUGUACCACCUAAAGCAAUAGGCUAUGGUGAUGAGAUCCGUAGGGGUAAGAGGUUCCCCGAAGUACCCGACAAUCAUUAGUACUCAAAGAAAGAAAAUGGUUGAAGAUAUAGUCUGGCAGUUAUCGAAAGAUAAUU